UACGAAGGGGGCUAGCGUUGCUCGGAAUUACUGGGCGUAAAGCGCACGUAGGCGGUCUUUAAGUCGGGGUGAAAUCCGUGGAGCUCAACUCCCAGAACCUGCCUUGAUACUGAGGAUCUUGAGUUCGGGAGAGGUGAGUGGAACUGCGAGUGUAGAGGUGAAAUUCGUAGAUAUUCGCAAGAACACCAGUGGCGAAGGCGGCUCACCUGGCCCGA
rnacentral:rRNA from 1 species